CGUCGGCUUGGUAGAGCAUCCGUCUGAUAAGUGGAAGGUCGUAGGUCCGAUUCCUACCG
rnacentral:tRNA from 1 species